rfam:Gossypium raimondii Chr09_contig_103, whole genome shotgun sequence.
AAUAGUUUAAUGUUACAUCAACUUUUUUCUCUUGAAUUUUAGCAUUUCCCUCCUAAAAAAAUCAAAUCAAACUAAAAAUACUGAAAUUUAGGAGGAAAAAAAAUUAAUGUAACAUUAAACUAUU